ACUUUUUUGUUAAAAACAGACACAAACACACACAUUAGCCUAGGCUUACAGAGAGUCAGGAUCAUCAGUGUCACUGUCUUCCACCUCCACAUCUUGUCCCAUUGGAAGGUCUUCAGGGGCAAUAACACACCCGGAGCUGUCAUCUCCUAUGAUGACAAUGCUCUUAUGGAAUACCUCCUGAAAGGCCUGCCUGAGGCUGACAGUUAACUUUUCUUAUAAGUAGAAGGAAUGCACUCUAAAAUAAUGAUAAAAAGUAUAAUACAGUAAAUAUAUGAACCAGUAACAGUCGUUUAUUAUCAUUUUGAAGUAUUAUGUAUUGCACAUAAUCAUGUGUGCUACCUUUUUAUAUGACUGGCAGCAUGGUAGGUUUGUUUACACCAGCAUCACAACAAACAUGUGAGUAAUACAUUGCGGUACAGUGUUACAAUGGCUUUGUCGCUAGGUGAUAAGAAUUUUUCAGCUCCAUUAUAAUCUUAUGGGACUAAUGUCAUAUAUGUAGUCCAUCGAUGAUCAAAAUGUCAUUAUGGGGCACAUGACUAUAAAUGUACCUCUUGAGGACUGGCCUUUCUGACAGCUUUUUUUUUUAGUUUUGAGGAUCAAACCCUUGGGGCCAUUGAUUCAUUGGAUCAUUCAGCAAAUGAUCAAAUGGGUAAUUUGCGGUACAAUCUAAGCAAAGGAAAACCUGAAGAUGUCCAUUUCUUCAAGGAAGCUCUAAUCUGGAACAGCAAUAAAUUCUCUACGCAAAAGAGAAACACUCAAGGCAGUAAGGUAACAGCUCUGAAAGUGCUAAAAAUAUGGAGGGGAGCGAGCGAUAACUUGUAUGGUCACCAUUGACCUUGCUGAUGCAGAAAUAAAUCAUCUUUACUCUUCAUUCUCUUGAAUUCUCACCUACCCUGCCACCUCAUCCAAAAUUUGUUAAUUCUAUGUGCAAAACAUCUUUCAAAUCCACCCCUCUCUCUUCAUCCUCACUGCCCCCAUCCUAGUCCACAUCAAUGCCAGUCUUCUGAUUUUCCUGUCCCUAGUCUGAUCUUCUCCCAAUGCACUCUGCAGAGUGACCUUUAUGAAAUGUAGAUCUGAUUAUGCCACGUUCCCACUUUAAAAGCCUCUAGAGGUGUGAACCUCUAGAGUCUUCUAGAAUCUGACUUCCAUUCUCUGUCCAGCUUUAUUUCUUGCUGGACUACUCUAUGCUCCAGCCAUAUUGGUCAAAAAUUGUUUUAGUUUCUGGAACCUAUGGUGAUCCUCUCACCGAGGCCUGCUAUUUUCUCUUACUGGAACUCUGUCCCCUCCCCUGGGCACCCUCCCGCCUCUGGCCUAGCGAAUUCCUUCCAUCUUCCGGUCUCAGUUCCUCCAAGAAACCUUCUCACCUAACCCGUCCGGUCAGGGUACUUUCCUUACCUAACACCCACUCCCUCGUUUACUUCUCUUUGGCUGGACUGAAGUUGGGCAGGGCAGGGGCUAGUCUGCCUUCUUCUGGGCCCAACCCUCCCGGCCGGCACCACAGGCAUUACAGGUACUCUGUGCACUCAGGCUGCGCAGACCCGCAGCUUCCUAUCCUGUAGCUCACUUUCCUCUGAGGCGGGCUGGAGGCGGAGCUUGUCCGCUGGGGGUGGGGCUCAAAGCUGGGGCGGGGAUACGGAGCAAAACUUAAGAGGAAGAUGAGAAGCCUGGUUGGCCAGGAGGCUUAUCUGUCAGGACAGGGGGCGGGGCCUGG
rnacentral:lncRNA from 1 species